rnacentral:rRNA from 1 species
GCCGCUGCUAAAGCGGAGGAAGGAACGGGCAACGGUAGGUCAGUAUGCCCCGAAUGUGCUGGGCUACACGCGGGCUACAAUGGGCGAGACAAUGGGUUCCUACCUCGAAAGAGGACGGUAAUCUCCCAAACCCGGUCGUAGUUCGGAUUGAGGGCUGAAACUCCCCCUCAUGAAGCUGGAUUCCGUAGUAAUCGCGUUUCAGAAGAGUGCGGUGAAUACCUCCCUGCUCCUUGCACAAACUCCUAACCCACGCCCUUAUAGGCACCAGUGCGGAAGGGGACGGGCCCUUCCCUCCUCAAUAACCCACACAACAAAAAACCCACCACCACUGUUUUUUUUUUUUUUUUGUG